AUUUUAUAUACCUUAUUGUCGUGUGAAUUUGAUGACUAAAUUAUUACACAUACGAAAUGGAGAGGGAAAAAAAUAAUAAAACUCGGCUAAUUAUAGAUUACACAAAUGAUUUAAGAUAUAUUAGAGGGGUAUAAUAGCAGUUGAGUGUUUUCCUAUCAGAUGAUUUAAUCAAGACCUGUUCGCCAUAUUGUAGGUCAACAUUCCCAGAUCCCUUCAUUCUCAUCAAGUUGUACUGGUUACUAUGGUUAAGAUAAGAUUAUAAAUAAUCUGCAUCUUUUUAUUCAUAUAUAUUACAAUUGAUAAAAACGUCUAUAUAAUAAUGUCAUAUAACUUUAUAUUAAAGAAUGGCAGACGGUAGCCUAUUAAAAGAAAUACUAGACUCCUUGCAUGACGUGGAUAGCAUCAAUUUCUUUGCGGCUGCCAAUGGUUUAACCGGAGAGGAUGAGGUCGAAAACCGACUGAAGGAAGUCCACAUUGAUAAUUUAUGGGAGGAACUUCUUCUUGAUCUUGGACCCGAUUUUAAGAAACCUAGACACUCCUUUGACAUUGAAGGGCCGUCUACCAGCAUUCAGUCAGGGGGUAGGGAUGAAAAAGAAGAGAAACCUUAUUUUAUAUGGAAGAAGGAUACCCGGAUCUUCAGGAAAAACCUGGCCCGUGACACGACAUUCAAAGUCAAGUUCAAUGAGCAAUGGAGGGGGGAUAAAUUAAUAGAUGUACCAACUAAAUUACACGAGAUGUUUGACGACCUGUUGUCGCUGGCAAGGGGUCACGAUGCAGAUCUGGGAAGGGUGGUCUUGAGUCAUCCUAGUUUAAACAAUCCUAUCGUUGUCCCGUUACAGUCCUGGGAAAGUUUAAAUGCAGAUGUCGUCAUGUCUGAGAUUACCAAAGUUCUCAAUUCGAACGAAAGUUUACCCGUAGACGAAAACCUGAUUGUCACCAUCGGAUCCAUUGAUUUGCCUAAAGGAGGAGGUAAUCCAAGAAAACUACCCAUCACUUCUCUGUUCGGACCCAAAAAUAGCAUAGAAAGGAAAAAAUCACUUUUUCACGUACAAAAUGAUAACAAUUUAUGUCUGGCAAUUUCGAUCGGUCUGUGUUUUCUAAAAACGUGUAAAAAAGUGGACGCCGAUACAUGGUCACAAUUGGCGAGGGAUGAUUCGAAACAGAUGUUAGAUCAUGUUCUCAAAUACCGCACCGUUUCCAAGACUUAUUAUGACAAUAUCUUAAAAAAGUCGAGAAAAAAAUUGCAAACCAAGUUGGCGAUGUGGCUGUGUGAAAAAGCCGGAGUGCCCACUAACAGAUAUCUAGGUCUAAAUGAUAUCGAGCCUUUCGAAACCUUACUCGAUGUCUCUAUCAACGUCGUGUCCUCUAGAGUAGGAAACAAGUUUGUCAAGGUGACGAAGGACCAGGAUAAACCUCGUCUCUAUCUGUAUCACAUCGACUCGGAAAACGAAAAACACUGGCACGGGAUCGCCAGAAUACAAGGGUUUUUCAAAGCGUCGUACUUUUGUCAUACUUGUUUGAAACCGUAUAAAAAUAAAUCGAAGCACUCUUGCACCACCUCUUGUACGGUGUGUUUACAUGACAACUGUCGAGAAACGGAUGUCCAAAUGGGCUGUCGUUCAUGUGGUCGAGUUUGUCGAUCUUGGGAAUGUUUUAAAAGACAUAAAGAAAAACGAAAAGUCAAAAAAGAGAGUUAUCCCCCUGCCUGUGAGUUGUUUCACCAAUGUACAAAAUGUAGAGUCAUUCUGGAAUGUGCCAAGCGCUCUCCUGAUUUACAUGUUUGCGAAGAAUGGCAGUGCCCUAACUGUCGAGAAUAUCAGAAAGGGGAACAUAAUUGUUAUCAAAAUUCAUAUGGAUCUGAAAUGGAAAAACGAAACAAGAAAUUUAUAUUUUACGAUUUCGAGACGCGCCAAGAUGACAUCUUUCAUUGUGAGGUUGGCUACAGUCCGUCUCGCAUUAGAUGUCGACAGUGUGUUAAAGAACCACGUCAGUGCGUCAAUUGUAGAUUGUGUCAGAACUGUCGUGAUCCGUCUUGUGGUCUGACACAACACAGAGUCAACUUUGCAGUACUUCAGACCGCAUGUCACAAAUGCGAAAAAAAGGAAUUGGUGGAGGGCGCCACCUGCAGUUCUUGCGGAACUCGAUGUAAAAAUUGUUCUCAGACCUACAAGGAAGAAUACCUAUUUUCUCCUUGUCCCGACACCUGUGGGAAAAGAGAACAGGUGUUUUCAGGGGAUAACGCCGCCGAACAGUUUUGCGCUUACGUCACCAGUAAGACCUGCAAAGACUCGAUUUUAGUUGCACACAACGCAAAAAGUUUUGACUUGUACCCUGUUUUAGAGGGAAAGGAGAAAUUACAAAUAACAAAAGACGGGAACACGGAAUGGUACGACAUCGAACAUUUAAGAGGGCUGCAAGUGGUAAACCUUGAGGAAUCAUGGGUCCCUGUUGUCAAUCUUCAAAACGACGAAAACGUGAAAAUAGGCAAACGAGAAUUCAAGAGUCCCAUAGCUGUCGUGCCUUCUCAAGGGUACACGAAACGAGAUAAUUACAGUAAAAUCUCAAUCCAGUGGUUAGAAUGGUUGAUGGAAAAAAGUCGUCAGCGAGGGAAACCCAUUAAAAUUUCACACGCCCUAAACGGAGGUGAAUAUCAAGUUCCGGGCACCAAUUACAGAUGUGACGGAUAUUUGAGCACAUUGUCUGGAAAAGGAACCAUUUACGAAUUUUACGGCUGUGUGUUCCACGGUUGUCCUUCCUGUUUCCCAGAGGAACGGAAUAACACCAAACAUCCGUCCACCAAUCAAGCAAUCAAAGAAUUAUACGAUAUGACAAUUAACAGAGAAAAAGAACUUAAGCAUCUUGGAUACAAGUUGGUUACCAUUUGGGAGCAUCAAUUUAAAUAUCAACUGGACAAAAACACGAUAUUACAACAAUACCUGUCGACAUUAGACCUGCAAUAUAGACUCGACCCACGUGAGAGUUUUUUUGGGGGCAGAACCAAUGCCAUCAAACUACAUUACAAAACCGACGAAGACGAAACCAUUCAGUACUACGACUUUACCAGUCUUUAUCCAUGGACUAACAAAUAUUGUCGAUAUCCCAACGUGUGCAGACAAAGAAAAUCAGAACGAAUGUGCGUGCUCUACAGAAGAAAGGGCAAUCACGGGUACAUGGUGUACACCUGAAAUUCAAAUGGCAAUGUCUAAAGGGUACACAAUUUUGAAUAUCUAC
rnacentral:sRNA from 1 species